rnacentral:rRNA from 1 species
AGGGGGAUAGCCUCUCGAAAGAGAGAUUAACACCGCAUAACAUUUUACCGGCAUCGGUUUUUGAUCAAAUAUUUAUAGGAUAUGGAUGGGCUCGCGUGACAAGCUAGUUGGAGAGGUAACGGCUCACCAAGGCUACGAUGUCUAGGGGCUCUGAGAGGAAUCCCCCACACUGGUACUGAGACACGGACCAGACUCCUACGGGAGGCAGCAGUAAGGAAUUGGUCAAUGGAGGCAACUCUGAACCAGCCAUGCCGCGUGCAGGAUGACUGCCCUAUGUUGUAAACUGCUUUUGUCAGGGAAUAAACCUUUCUACGUGUAGAAAGCUGAAUGUACGAAGAAUAAGGAUCGGCUAACUCCGUGCCAGCAGCCGCGGUAAUACGGAGGAUCCAAGUUAUCCGGAUUUAUUGGGUUUAAAGGGUGCGUAGGCGGUCCUAUAAGUCAGUGGUGAAACGGCAGCUUAACUGUCGCAGUGCCUUUGAUACUGUAGGACUUGAAUCUAUUUGAAGUGCGGAAUAAGACAAGUAGCGGUGAAAUGCAUAGAUAUGUCUUAGAACUCCGAUUGCGAGCAGCUCACUAAGUUAGUAUUGACGCUGAUGCACGAAAGCGUGGGGAUCAAACAGGAUGAUACCCUGGUAGUCCACGCCCUAAACGAUGAUAACUCGAUGUUUGCGAUACACCAGU